rnacentral:rRNA from 1 species
CCUACGGGGGGCUGCAGUGGGGAAUAUUGGACAAUGGGGGCAACCCUGAUCCAGCCAUGCCGCGUGUGUGAAGAAGGCCCUCGGGUUGUAAAGCACUUUCAGUGAGGAAGAACGCCUGGUGGUUAAUACCCAUCAGGAAAGACAUCACUCACAGAAGAAGCACCGGCUAACUCCGUGCCAGCAGCCGCGGUAAUACGGAGGGUGCGAGCGUUAAUCGGAAUUACUGGGCGUAAAGCGCGCGUAGGUGGCUUGAUAAGCCGGUUGUGAAAGCCCCGGGCUCAACCCGAGAACGGCAUCCGGAACUGUCAAGCUAGAGUGCAGGAGAGGAAGGUAGAAUUCCCGGUGUAGCGGUGAAAUGCGUAGAGAUCGGGAGGAAUACCAGUGGCGAAGGCGGCCUUCUGGACUGACACUGACACUGAGGUGCGAAAGCGUGGGUAGCAAACAGGAUUAGAUACCCCGGUAGUC